GCCAGCUUCUUCAGUCAACUUUUCUCCGAGUAGUUAAGCAGAUUGUGGCAGAAUAAAGUCGCUCUCCCUGUGUUACAGAAGUCUCGGGAGUCCUUAUCUUAUGGAACUUAUUGGAACUGGAACUUUAGAUGUUAAGCUUGAGUUACUCCCAACUUUAUUCUUUUGCCAAGAUAUUCAUUGGCUAAUGGAGUUGUGGUGGCACAGUGGUUAGAAUGCAGUACUGCAGGCUAAUUUACUGCCACUACUUUGAUCUGACCAGCUCACGGUUGACUCAAGACUUCCAUCCUUCUGAGGUUGGUAAGAUGAGAACCCAGAUUGUUGUGGGCAAAAUGCUGACUUUGUAAACCACUUAGAGGCUGAAAAGAACAAUGAAGCAUUAUGUAAGUCUAAGUGCUUAACAGUGUCAAUGUGGAUUGCUGGGAUUACCAUCACUAAGUGUUGGACAUUGUGCUUUAGUUGAAAAUUGUUAUUUGUAACAUAUAUGGAAGAUACUAGACUGGGGAAAACUAAGUUAAAGGAUAAAACCACAUUAAAUAAUUAUAUUUCAGAUGGCACUUGCCCAUAUCCUUUGGAAGUUAUGACAGACUAGAUGAGUAGAAAUUGAAUAGUUUUUACUUUAAAAAAAAGUAUUUUAGUAGCUAUGCACUUUAAAUCUCAAGCUUGUACUGCAUGGAUACUGGCUGUAGGAAUCAAUGGGUGCAAUCCAACAGACAGCUAUGGUGGCAUGAGGAAAGAUGCUUUAGGCUAAGUAGCUUGUAUUUAGAAGGGAGAAAUCUCCCUUGAGUUCAAUAGGCCUGUGUUUAUGCUCAUACAGAAUUGCUUCACAUUGACUUUUGCAGUGAACACAGUUGAGUAACGAACAUAGUCUUUCAUUUACAAUCACAAUUAGAAUCGAAACUUCCAGUGCUAAGUGAUGCAGUUAAGUGAGGCAUCAUGUGACUGUGCCCAAUUUUAUAAUCUUUUUGUUUCAGUUGUUAAGUGGAAAUGACUUUCCCCAUUGAUUUUGCUUGUUGGAAGCUGGCUGGAAAAAUCCCAAGUGGCAAUCAUGUGACCCGGAACACUGCAACCAUCAGAAAUACAUGCUGGUGGCCAUGUACCCACAUGAGCAUUGGGAUGUUGCAACAGUCAUGAGUGCAUGGAUCUGUCAUAACCACUUUUUCCAGCAUCAUAACUUUAAAUGGUUGUUAAAUGAAUGGUUGCAAAUUGAAGAUUACCUGUAGUGCAGUUACAGAUGGUAAGCAAUAACUCAGCUUGUUGACCGUUGUUUCAGUAUUAUGAAGUUAUUAAAAACUAAAUGCUGAGUCCUUAUUCUAUAUAUUAUAGCCAGGUUUAGCAACUUCUUGGAAUUUUGAAAGUGACCAAACACUUAUUACAAUGCUUUUAAAGCCUAUUACAACAUUCUCAGCUGAAAAAUAUAUCCAAAUAGCAGCACUUCUGAGAUAGUUUGAUGUGUCAGCUUACCUUUUCCUGUUUUUGAGGUUUGUCUGUUUAAUUUAUAGUUAUCAUGUACAAAGAAGUUUUUAAUUCUUGAACUGUAUCUUUGAGAAUUAAAUCCUAUCAAAGUUCUGUUUCAGAAACUGAUUUGAGUUUUUAUUAAAAUCUAUUCCUCAAUUAGCCAAGACACUUUUUAUGGUGUGUAUUUAUUCAAAUUAUGAUGCUCAGUACAAUAAUUGAUUACAACACAGCAUUCUUACCAUUUUUGUAAAUAAAUAGCACCUGCACCAUUAAAUAUCCAGAUUCUCCCUAUAUAUGUUCUUGCAUAAUAAAUGUGUGAAAGAGUCAAGUAUGUAAAAAGCUUUUAUCUGUAAUAAAAUUUGUCCAAUAUGCCAACACAAACAUGAUAUAGAUACAUAUAAAUAAAAAAGCAUGGAUUCUACAUAUUUAGGGAUGGAAGAGAAUACAGAUAUUUGCCAUUUUUAAAAAAAUUAUGCAUGUUUGUAUAAAUAAAUAUCACCUUGAAAACAAAUUCAGAAUGUUUAGAUUUUAUUUUGAAAAUGCUAAAAUUAUAGACUACAGUGUUAAUUAUGUUUAAUCAAUUUUAUUGUGCUUCCAUUCCCUAGCAAAAAGAUUGAUUUUGGAAUAGAAGCAAAAGCUUUCAAUGUAGAUUUCAAUUGUGAAAGAAAUAACACAUCCUCUUGAGGUUCAUGUAUGACUACUGAACAAUGGUCUAACAUUACAUUACAGUUCAAACCUAUUUAACAUCUAAUGCUACAGAUGAUCUGUUUGCUAACUAGAACUUUCAAAAGCUAGCAAUAAAAAAAAUCACUCUAGACCAAGCAGACUUGAAUUAAUGACAAAUUAUAAUAGAACAACAAUUAACAAUUGUGUAGCUUUUUUAUUAGACAACCAGAUUAAUUGAUUUGAAUUCUGAUUGUAACAUAUUUUAUCAAAAGGAGUCUGCUCAGUAGAAUUCAACCUUACUUUCUUAAAGGGUCUAGAUUUUUAAUUGGCAUGGGUUACCCCAAUCAUCCAGAGUUAAUUCACAAAUAUGGGAGCUGAAAUAUAGGAAACAAAAAGUGCUCCUAGAUAGUGAAAUUUUUAACAAGUAAAACUGAGUAAUAUAAAACUAUGUUGCUUUCUAAACUUGUAUUAAGAGAAUGAUUUCAGUAAAUGCUCUUAUUGCAUCUAAAUGAACCAAUUAUAUGAAUUCAGUUGAUUAUAUAGCAACCUCCAAGCAUCUGGGAAUUCAUGGAUAAGCAGGCCUCUUAACUCCCAAAGGAAAUUACAAAUAAGGUUUCACAUUUUAUGUAAAUCAUUCUGAAAUAAUUGGUCCAGGUCUGAACUGAGACACACAUUUUAGAUGUAUACCGAAGAAAUAGGACUACUCUGUUUCGAGUAGAAGUGAUUUCAGGAGUGAAUAUCAGCAGCUGAGAGAAAAUAGUGAGAGAAGGUGCUGGGAAGUUUAGGGCCCAGGUGGGCAAUGCUUGCUGGAACAUCAGCAGUGGUGGCUGAAAGGAAGGAGGAAGAUCUGGUAAAGUCAGGGGCAAAAAGGACAUGCUAUUCUAGAAUAUCAGUAAAGCUGCUGAGGGGGGGGGGGGAAAUACCUGGGAGAAAAGACUCUUAUUUAUUCUUUACUAGAAGCUGCAGUGUAGAAAUGGACAAAGGGGUGAUAUGUACUAAUCUUACCCUAUUCAAAUUUCAUCCAAAACCUAGAAUAAAUAAAGCUAAAGCUGAAUUGUGAAGGACCAAAGAAUAUUUGCAGAACCUACAAAAUGAAAUGGAAACAAAAUAUUAUUUCUGAUUUAUACACAUCUCUAAUUUUUACUGCCCUAAUAUAAACGGAUAGGGGAAUCCAUAUCAUUUUUAACAUUUAAAAAUGGAAAAAUAUUCAGUUGUCUUUUGAAAUUCCUAAUACUGUAGAGAUUGUUUCUAUGUUGUGUAUUCGUGAUAAUUUGUAAAGAUAACUUUCAUUUAGAAGGUGGCUGCUAACAAACCCUUCAUGAUUAUACAAUAAGCAAAUAUCAUUAAUAUAAUAGAACAUAAAUUGUCUAUCCAAACUGCAUGGCUCAUUUCCUUCUGCCUAUGCAGAAACUACAAGUUCUACUAUUUUCAUCCAUGUAGCAUAUAGCAAAAAUAUGAAGCUCCAAACUAAAAUUCUUAAUAACAAACUGACUGUUGUAUUUUUCAUGCUAUAUCAUUCUAAUUAUUUGUUAAUGGCAACCAGACUAAUACGGGCUUUCUUAAUAUUUCCCAAAUGCACCUGUUUAGAUCAAUAAUGAUAGUAUAGAGAUUAAAAAUGUUCAGUCUGCACUUUAUGACUAUAUGAAGAGAAUUGAAAGAACCAUUAGGACUUCAAUACACCAGUAUGAAAAUGCAUUUACUGAAAGACAGCAUUCAUUAUCUUCACUGUGUCAAAUAUCUGAACUAUAAGCUUGACGCCAGAAUUCACAUUUCACUUUGCCUUGUUCUGUGAGAUAGUGAUGAAGUAGGUUUCAAUUUAUUCUUCUCUUAAGUUAGGUGCGUGUAGAAAGUAUUUCUUUAUGAUUAUACUUUAGAGUCAAACAUUUUCUAAUUAUGGUCCUACUACUGUCUUCCAAAAAGCCUCCAAAUAAAAGAUUUAAACAUUUAAUGUUAGAAAUGUGGUGCACCUUGACUACAAUAGACAGUCUUCUUGGAAAU